UACGGAGGGUGCGAGCGUUGUCCGGAAUCACUGGGCGUAAAGGGCGCGUAGGCGGCCUGAUAAGUAGGGGGUGAAAUCCUGCGGCUUAACCGCAGGGCUGCCUUCUAAACUGUCGGGCUAGAGCACGGUAGAGGCAGAUGGAAUUCCCGGUGUAGCGGUGGAAUGCGUAGAGAUCGGGAAGAACAUCAGUGGCGAAGGCGGCUACCUGGACCGGUUCUGACGCUGAGGCGCGAAAGCGUGGGUAGCAAACAGG
rnacentral:rRNA from 1 species